UCUGUAAGAACCAGCUUAUCCACGCUCUCCGAUCUCGUGUCUGUUUCUCUUUCUCUCUCCCUCUACUUGCGCUGUCCCUCAUUCAUUCACUCUUCCAUCUUUUUGCCAUUGUGCCAGCUCAAUUUAAAUGUAUCUGCUCUGUAUCUGUUCAAGUGGAGAUAUUCCAUGCAAAUCAGGAGCAGGGGCUUUCCAUGCUUGGUUCACAGAGAGGACUCGGCUUGAGGAGGUCACUCGUUCACAGCCGCUCCUCCCAUUAUAUUUUUCCCCUUAUUGCAGAACUGCUGUAUGUAUACAGUGACUGAAAGGACUCAAUUUACUGCAGCUGCCGCCUGGCUUUACUUACAACUUUUUUUUUUUUUUUUUUUAUAAAGGAACUUACCUCCAUCUGUCUUUUCAAGAAAUAUAGUCAUCAAUCCAGACAGUUAUAUCUUCAGAUCCUCAGGUUCUAAUAAAGGGUAGAAAGAGUCCCUUUAACUCCUGAAGACAGUAAAUCACAGUUUGUGUGGUGGUUCUCAGAAGACACUUAAAGGGCUGAAUUGGAUGCUCUACAUAGCACCCUUGCCAAAAGAGUUCGGAAAUGACUUCCAGCUUCCCACAGUAAUAAAAUGGCACUGUUUGGCAUCUUUAAGGUCUCAGACAACUCAGCUCUGAACCACACAACUAAUUCUGA